rnacentral:rRNA from 1 species
GAGUCUUAAUUGGGCGUUAAGUUGCAGGGUAUAGACCCGAAACCCGGUGAUCUAGCCAUGGGCAGGUUGAAGGUUGGGUAACACUAACUGGAGGACCGAACCGACUAAUGUUGAAAAAUUAGCGGAUGACCUGUGGCUGGGGGUGAAAGGCCAAUCAAACCGGGAGAUAGCUGGUUCUCCCCGAAAGCUAUUUAGGUAGCGCCUCGUGAAUUCAUCUCCGGGGGUAGAGCACUGUUUCGGCUAGGGGGCCAUCCCGGCUUACCAACCCGAUGCAAACUGCGAAUACCGGAGAAUGUUAUCACGGGAGACACACGGCGGGUGCUAACGUCCGUCGUGAAGAGGGAAACAACCCAGACCGCCAGCUAAGGUCCCAAAGUCAUGGUUAAGUGGGAAACGAUGUGGGAAGGCCCAGACAGCCAGGAUGUUGGCUUAGAAGCAGCCAUCAUUUAAAGAAAGCGUAAUAGCUCACUGGUCGAGUCGGCCUGCGCGGAAGAUGUAACGGGGCUAAACCAUGCACCGAAGCUGCGGCAGCGACGCUUAUGCGUUGUUGGGUAGGGGAGCGUUCUGUAAGCCUGUGAAGGUGGCCUGUGAGGGUUGCUGGAGGUAUCAGAAGUGCGAAUGCUGACAUAAGUAACGAUAAAGCGGGUGAAAAGCCCGCUCGCCGGAAGACCAAGGGUUCCUGUCCAACGUUAAUCGGGGCAGGGUGAGUCGACCCCUAAGGCGAGGCCGAAAGGCGUAGUCGAUGGGAAACGGGUUAAUAUUCCCGUACUUGGUGUUACUGCGAAGGGGGGACGGAGAAGGCUAUGUUGGCCGGGCGACGGUUGUCCCGGUUUAAGCGUGUAGGUGUGUGUUCCAGGUAAAUCCGGUUCACUUUAACACUGAGGCGUGAUGACGAGGCACUACGGUGCUGAAGUAACAAAUGCCCUGCUUCCAGGAAAAGCCUCUAAGCAUCAGGUAACAUCAAAUCGUACCCCAAACCGACACAGGUGGUCAGGUAGAGAAUACCAAGGCGCUUGAGAGAACUCGGGUGAAGGAACUAGGCAAAAUGGUGCCGUAACUUCGGGAGAAGGCACGCUGACAC